rnacentral:rRNA from 1 species
AAACCGAGUCUGAAUAGGGCGCCUUAGUAUCAUGACGUAGACCCGAAACCAUGUGACCUACCCAUGAGCAGGUUGAAGGUGCGGUAAAACGCACUGGAGGACCGAACCAGGGCACGUUGAAAAGUGCUUGGAUGACUUGUGGGUAGCGGAGAAAUUCCAAACGAACUUGGAGAUAGCUGGUGCUCUCCGAAAUAGCUUUAGGGCUAGCGUCGACAUCAAGAUUCUUGGAGGUAGAGCACUGUUUGGGUGAGGGGUCCAUCCCGGAUUACCAAUCUCAGAUAAACUCCGAAUGCCAACGAAUUAUGGUCGGCAGUCAGACUGCGAGUGCUAAGAUCCGUAGUCGAAAGGGAAACAGCCCAGACCACCAGCUAAGGUCCCAAAAUAAUUGUUAAGNNNNNNNNNNGCUUAGAAGCAGCCAUCAUUCAAAGAGUGCGUAAUAGCUCACUAGUCGAGUGACCCUGCGCCGAAAAUGUACCGGGGCUAAAACAAUUUACCGAAGCUGUGGAUACCUUUAUAGGUAUGGUAGGAGAGCGUUCUAUGUGUGGAGAAGGUGUACCGUGAGGAGCGCUGGAACGCAUAGAAGUGAGAAUGCCGGUAUGAGUAGCGAAAGACAGGUGAGAAUCCUGUCCACCGUAAGACUAAGGUUUCC